rnacentral:rRNA from 1 species
UACGGGGGGGGUAAGCGUUGUUCGGAAUUACUGGGCGUAAAGGGCUCGUAGGCGGCCAACUAAGUCGGACGUGAAAUCCCUCAGCUUAACUGGGGAACUGCGUCCGAUACUGGAUGGCUUGGAUUCGGAGAGGAAUGCGGAAUUCAGGUGUAGCGGUGAAAUGCGUAGAUAUCUGGAGGAACACCGGUGGCGAAGGCGGCAUUCUGGACCGACAUUGACGCUGACGGAGCGAAAGCCAGGGGAGCCAACGGG